CAGAUAAAUCCUUCCGGAUCACGGGGCUGCCACGGGAGUGGCUUCCACCACACCAUCUCCUGUCCUGGGUGUUGUGGGGAGAUGAGUCUGGAUCCUACCUGGAUUCUGCCUCCAAGCUGGGGGAAGAAAGCUCCCAUGUUGUGAGGCAUAAAAAGGCCCACAUGUCAAAGAACUACAGCCUGCCAGCGACCACGUGACUGAGCUUGGAGGUGGAUCAUCCCUCAGGGAAGCCUUGAGAUGACAGCAGGCUGGGAGGGAUGCUCAGCCAGGACCAUGCAGCCAUGCUGCUCCGGCAUUCCUGAACCACAGAUGCUGUGAGAUGUGAACCAAAGCAUUCUGCCCCUACGAGGAAGAAAGGGAGGCAGUGAGGAGAGAAUCAGGCCCAAAGAGCUGGGCCCAAGUGACAUUUAUAAAUAGGAACAUGGAAACUCACGGAAGAAGCCAAGCAAGACAUUUUUUUCCCUCUACAUGUGUCAGCACUUCCCAGAUGUGAUGAUGGUAUUUGAAAGAGCAUGAUCUGGAAAUCCUGAGCCGUGCUGCCACAAGAAAAUGGAUGCACAGAGGACAAGGCCAGGCAGCGCAGGUCUUCAUUACACUGAGACUUUGCCUGAGUCCCAUGGUGCCCCAGUGCCCUGGCCUGGGCACAUCAGCACUGCCUUCUGUCCAGGCCCCAUGAGUCUCAGAUGGUGGACCCUGGUGACGGAAGGCUGGGUAGAUGCCAUGGACCUUUCCAUAGGUCAUAGCCACAGCUGAGCACUUGGUGUCUUACUACUCAGUGGAGAGGAGAAGUGUGCUGAAGGGUGGUAAGAGAGUGUGUCCAGGGGCCCAGACCAGAGUGGGCCAUGCCUCAUCUAGAGAGCAAGCAUCUUCCAGAAAGGAGAGCCCUUGGGUCCUUUUACAGAAGCAAUCAGAAAAACAUCGGGAAUCUCCCAGAAGACUGAAUGUAAGAGGACGAAGGGUCCGGGCACAGUGGCUCAUUCCUGUAAUCCCAGAACUUUGGGAGACUGAGGUGAGUGGAUCACUUGAGGUCAGGAGUUCGAGACCAGCCUGAACAACAUGGUGAAACCCCAUCUCUACUAAAAAUACAAUAUUAGCUGGGCAUAGUGGCGCAUGCCUGUAAUCCCAGCUACUCAGGAGGCUGAGGCAGGAGAAUCGCUUGAACCCAGGAGGAGGAGGUUGCAGUGAGCCGAGAUUGCAUCACCGCAUUCCAGCCUGGGCAACAAAGCAAGACUUCAUCACACACACACACACACACACACACACACACACACACACACAAACGAAACAACAACAACAACAAAACCAAAAAAAAAGAAAAAGAAA
rnacentral:lncRNA from 1 species